rnacentral:rRNA from 1 species
GACGAACGCUGGCGGCGUGCUUAACACAUGCAAGUCGAACGGAAAGGCCCUGCUUUUGUGGGGUGCUCGAGUGGCGAACGGGUGAGUAACACGUGAGUAACCUGCCCUUGACUUUGGGAUAACUUCAGGAAACUGGGGCUAAUACCGGAUAGGAGCUCCUGCUGCAUGGUGGGGGUUGGAAAGUUUCGGCGGUUGGGGAUGGACUCGCGGCUUAUCAGCUUGUUGGUGGGGUAGUGGCUUACCAAGGCUUUGACGGGUAGCCGGCCUGAGAGGGUGACCGGCCACAUUGGGACUGAGAUACGGCCCAGACUCCUACGGGAGGCAGCAGUGGGGAGUAUUGCACAAUGGGCGGAAGCCUGAUGAAGCAACGCCGCGUGCGGGAUGACGGCCUUCGGGUUGUAAACCGCUUUCGCCUGUGACGAAGCGUGAGUGACGGUAAUGGGUAAAGAAGCACCGGCUAACUACGUG